rnacentral:rRNA from 1 species
AUUGAACGCUGGCGGCAGGCCUAACACAUGCAAGUCGAGCGGAUGAGAGGAGCUUGCUCUUUGAUUCAGCGGCGGACGGGUGAGUAAUGCCUAGGAAUCUGCCUGGUAGUGGGGGACAACGUUUCGAAAGGAACGCUAAUACCGCAUACGUCCUACGGGAGAAAGUGGGGGAUCUUCGGACCUCACGCUAUUAGAUGAGCCUGGGUCGGAUUAGCUAGUUGGUGGGGUAAUGGCUCACCAAGGCGACGAUCCGUAACUUGUCUGAGAGGAUGAUCAGUCAAACUGGAACGGAGACACGGUCCAGAAUCCGACGGGAGGCAGCAGUGGGGAAUAUUGGACAAUGGGCGCAAGCCUGAUCCAGCCAUGCCGCGUGUGUGAAGAAGGUCUUCGGAUUGUAAAGCACUUUAAGUUGGGAGGAAGGGCAGUAACUUAAUACGUUGCUGUUUUGACGUUACCGACAGAAUAAGCACCGGCUAACUCUGUGCCAGCCGCCGCCGUAACAC